GCUUCGCGGUGGUGGGUGGCUGGGUGCGCAGGUCGGCAGGUGUGGAGAUUUGGAGAAGAGGGAGCGAUGAGUACUGACUAGGUUAGGGAUUGGGGAUUUGGGGGUUAGGGUAGACGCUCACACUCGCACAGUUUCGUUUGGGGGGUGAGGGUCUGGGGGGUGGGGGUUAGUAAUGUUUAGGGUUUUUUUCCUAACCGGUUCAGUUCGGUUCGAUUAGGAUUUUCAGAUUCAAAACCGAAAACCGAACCGAACCGCACAGAAAACAGCAAAAUAAGUUUUU